AUGCAUGCAGUCGUACGCACGCGCUUCGGCGCGUGAGUGGCGCACGGCUGAGUAACACGUGGGAACCCGCCCUCCGGUGGGGGAUAACGCGACGAAAGUCGCGCUAAUCCCGCAUACGUCCGCAAGGGGAAAGCGCUUCGGCGCGCCGGAGGAGGGGCCUGCGGCCCAUCAGGUGGUUGGUGGGGUAACGGCCUACCAAGCCGAUGACGGGUAGCUGGUCUGGGAGGAUGACCAGCCAGACUGGGACUGAGACACGGCCCAGACUCCUACGGGAGGCAGCAGCAAGGAAUUUUCGGCAAUGGGCGCAAGCCUGACCGAGCAACGCCGCGUGCGGGAUGACGGCCUUCGGGUUGUAAACCGCUUUUCGGGGGGACGACUACGACGGUACCCCCGGAAGAAGCCCCGGCUAACUCUGUGCCAGCAGCCGCGGUAAGACAGAGGGGGCGAGCGUUGUCCGGAGUUACUGGGCGUAAAGCGCGCGCAGGCGGUGGUCUCAGUGUCGUGUGAAAGCCCCCGGCUCAACCGGGGGAGGUCAUGGCAAACUAGACGACUGGAGCGGCGGAGAGGCCCCUCGAAUUG
rnacentral:rRNA from 1 species